CACUCCUACGGGAGGCAGCAGUGGGGAAUUUUGGACAAUUGGCGAAAGCCUGAUCCAGCCAUGCCGCGUGCAGGAUGAAGGCCUUCGGGUUGUAAACUGCUUUUGUACGGAACGAAACGGCCUUUUCUAAUAAAGAGGGCUAAUGACGGUACCGUAAGAAUAAGCACCGGCUAACUACGUGCCAGCAGCCGCGGUAAUACGUAGGGUGCAAGCGUUAAUCGGAAUUACUGGGCGUAAAGCGUGCGCAGGCGGUUAUGUAAGACAGUUGUGAAAUCCCCGGGCUCAACCUGGGAACUGCAUCUGUGACUGCAUAGCUAGAGUACGGUAGAGGGGGAUGGAAUUCCGCGUGUAGCAGUGAAAUGCGUAGAUAUGCGGAGGAACACCGAUGGCGAAGGCAAUCCCCUGGACCUGUACUGACGCUCAUGCACGAAAGCGUGGGGAGCAAACAGGAUUAGAUACCCUUGUAGUCCC
rnacentral:rRNA from 1 species